UACGAAGGGGGCUAGCGUUGUUCGGAGUUACUGGGCGUAAAGCGCACGUAGGCGGAUAUUUAAGUCAGGGGUGAAAUCCCAGAGCUCAACUCUGGAACUGCCUUUGAUACUGGGUAUCUUGAGUAUGGAAGAGGUAAGUGGAAUUGCGAGUGUAGAGGUGAAAUUCGUAGAUAUUCGCAGGAACACCAGUGGCGAAGGCGGCUUUACUGGUCCGGUACUGACGCUGAGG
rnacentral:rRNA from 1 species